CAGUCUAAUUUGCUAAUUUGUUCACAAAUAUAGAUUUCCAAAAAACGAAAAUAGUAGGAAAUAAUGGCGGUAAUCAUUUCUACAGCAACACUGGUAGUACUGCUCUUAGCACGACUAGUAAAUCUUAUCUAAGAAAAUAUUGUGUUUUUCCGACGAUGAGUAAAGGAUAUGGAGACCUUGCAGUUGAUGAUUUUAAUUCACCCAGAAAAGCCUUAGAUACUUAAUAAUGUCUAAUUCACACACACUUAUGUUUACUGGUCGUCAAACCCGUUCCUAUUCAUGGAAUUUACUUCUCAACAAGAAAAGACAAACUUCUUUGAAAGAAGGCUAAGCAAACACCAAUUACCUUCAAUUGCAC